rnacentral:rRNA from 1 species
AACGAACGCUGGCGGCAGGCCUAACACAUGCAAGUCGAGCGAACCCUUCGGGGUUAGCGGCGGACGGGUGAGUAUCGCGUGGGAAUGUGCCCUUCUCUACGGAAUAGCCUCGGGAAACUGAGAGUAAUACCGUAUACGCCAGUUGGGGGAAAGAUUUAUCGGAGAAGGAUCAGCCCGCGUUGGAUUAGGUAGUUGGUGGGGUAAUGGCCUACCAAGCCGACGAUCCAUAGCUGGUUUGAGAGGAUGAUCAGCCACACUGGGACUGAGACACGGCCCAGACUCCUACGGGAGGCAGCAGUGGGGAAUCUUAGACAAUGGGGGCAACCCUGAUCUAGCCAAGCCGCGUGAGUGAUGAAGGCCUUAGGGUUGUAAAGCUCUUUCAGCUGGGAAGAUAAUGACGGUACCGGCAGAAGAAGCCCCGGCUAACUCCGUGCUAGCAGCCGCCGCAG